rnacentral:lncRNA from 1 species
AAAAUUUCUUUUAGUACAACCAUCACAAUGUAACUCUAGUUUUAAAUAGAAAAGUAAAAGAGAAAAUAAGGGUAGAUGAGGCGGAUGAGCAGCGAAAAUAGGAAAACGAAAGAGAGGAAAAAAGAAGAGGAAAGAAAGAAGAGGAAAGAAAGAAAAGAAGGGAAAAGAAGAGAAAGGAAGAGGUCGUGGAAAGGAAAGGAUAGUCGGGAAACUGACGGCAACGACAAUAACAAUGACAACGGCAAUGGC